GCAAGUCGAGCGGUAACAGAGAGUAGCUUGCUACUUUGCUGACGAGCGGCGGACGGGUGAGUAACGCGUAAGAAUCUACCCAGUAGUUGGGGAUAGCCCGGAGAAAUCCGGAUUAAUACCGAAUAAUCUCUACGGAGGAAAGUGGGCUUCGGCUCACGCUACAGGAUGAGCCUGCGUUGGAUUAGCUAGUUGGUGUGGUAAAGGCGCACCAAGGCGACGAUCCAUAGCUGGUCUGAGAGGAUGAUC
rnacentral:rRNA from 1 species